UGCAGUAUAUGUUUUGUCCUUGUUGAAUGCAGUUUAGUCUCCCUCUGCUUCCUAGCGCCAUGUGCUGAUUGCUUUCAUCCACCACAUCCUUCCGCCAUGAUGUUCUGCCUCAACUUGGGCCCCACGAAUGGAGUUGGCUGUCUAUGAACUGAGACCUCUGAAACCAUGAGAGCCAAAUAAACUUUCCUCCUCUAAAAUUAUCCUUCUCAGGUCCUUUGGUUAUAGCAACAAACAAUAAACAACAACAACAACAAAAAGCAAAGCUGAAUAAUAUACCACCCCAAGAAAAUGGCAGAGGUUAAGGAGAAGAGGGUGAGAGAAGGGAACAUGUAAAGGGCAGAGGGACACUAAGUGAGGUUUUUUGACCAUCAGGGGUCACUGUGAGGGCACAAGACAAUGAAUGUUUAUUGAACACCUCCUAUGUCCAGAUAGUAUGCUGACUCUGGGGACAAACCUAUGAAAUAAAAGCUGCCCCUCAUUCAGGGGCACUUACAGACAGUGCUGAGUUGUCCUGGGUUCUACAUGCUUAGCUUUUACCAGUGUUGCUAACUGAAGUGGCCUUGUGCAGUCUGGACCUGUCACCCCACGCAGAGCAUGGAGAGAGCUGCUCGGAAGCAACUGCCUGGACACAAACCCAGCCAGCACUGGAGAUGCCUGCCUGUCCUACCUGAGGAGAUCUCCAUUCCCCUUUCCUGGUGUUGGUCAGCUCCGUUAUCGCGUGUGGUGUUUUUCCUCACCAAUGACCGAUUCUCCAACACCAACUUGAUGAUCAACAAUUGAUUCAAUUCUGAUUCUGUCUGCCUGGAGUUGGGAACAGACCUCACAAACUAAAAGGCUCAAUCCCACAAGACUUCUCCCAAUUUAGAUGCCAGCCACACAUAUGGGUCCCAGGCUACCCACAUUUCUGCCCACUGACUGCAACUUCAGGCGCUCACAACUGUCCGUCCCUCUGGUUUGGUAGGAUAACUCUCUGGAAGACUCAGAACUCAGGAAAGUGCACUGCUUCCGGUCAAAGUUGUUACAAAGGAGACAAGUGAAUGGCCAGAUGAGGAGACGGAGGUACGAGAAUCCCUGAGGUGGAGUGACGUGUAGGUCCUUCAUCCCACACAAGCACCGGGAGCUGACUGCGUUCCAGAGCUGAUGCGAGAGCUUCUAAAGUCACAGGGCAGAUAUGAGCCACAGUCCUCGACUUUGAGAAGCCACAGUCCAGUCGCCAGUCCAGAGGGCAAACCAAACACCCAUCAUAGCUGCAAAGGACACAAAUCAGAACUGGGCAAAGAAGAGGGAAGUGGACGAAGCCAGGGAGGUUCCAGCGUGAAGCUGCUGUGUUCCCUCAGGUCUCACCACCUCCCUGAAUUGAAGUGUGACAAUACGGAGGCUUUGUUGGGGUUUCCUUAUAUAUUCACAAAUGAUGGAUCACUGGCCAUGCGGUCGAACUGGACAGCUGGUCCCUCCAAGUAGGGUAGGACAUUGUGGCCAAAGCCCCAAACAACCUCCAGUGACCUGAUCAGUCUUUCUGGUGUGGCAAGCUCAGCCCGAGUUACCAUCUUGUCAUGUCAGCAUAACUAUCAGGGACCUCCAUGAGUUGUAACCCAGGUGUGGUCCAAGAGCCACAUGAAUGACAAGGACUUCUCUAUUGCCGAGGAGUUUCCAAAGGUCUAGAGGCCCCUCCCCAGUGGACAUAGGCCAGUCAGACGGCCUGUGUGUGGAGUUGUUGCUGGCGGUGGUCUUAAGGUUGAGUGUGUCCUUUGGCUCUUGUGUUCUCCCAGGAGAAAAUGUCAGGCAAGACGUUAAAUAGAGUAGAAGUAUAUAGCAAAGUGUAUUAGAGGAGAAAGGAAAGACCCUCAAGGGAGAGGGAUGCGAUGUCCCUUUGUUACCAGCUUUGCAGGGGUCUUAGGGAAGUUUCUAGAGAGUUUUGCCCAGGUACCACCUCAACAACUUGAAUGACAGCAGGAUUCCCUCAGGUUUUUAAGUCCUUUCUGCCCAAGGUUUUACCCACGGGUACCCAGGUGAAGCCCAUGUGUUGGGUGGCUUUUACUGUCACAAUGAGAGUAAAAUGAUCUGAAGCUAAAGAGCGAAAGGCAACUCUCAGUCGCCUUGACCUGUGCUGACUAGUUCAAACUGGACCUAGUUUUUACAGGUUUUAUGGUUGGUGGGCUUUGCUUUUCAUUAUCCUGUGUUCCUGAGUCUUGGAAUCUUUGUAUAAAGGUCACCAGAGUCCCCUUUCAGGGCAAUCUGUGCUCCGAUCAGGAAGAAGGAGUCUUAUAUUCCUCACCCUGCAAGUAGCUCCAAGGGUACCGGUUGUUUGUGCAGAAAUGUAACCUCCUGUUGAUUUAAGGCAGAGCAGGGUCACAAUGACCUUGCUCAGGUAAAUCACUUCUUAAAAGAAAGUGUGCGGAGGGCAGCCCAGGCCCAGUCUGCGGAAUGACCCCUUUAAUUUCACGUACCUACUGCUCACAGUGAGGGGCCUGGAGCAGGGGUGUCGUGCUGGGCGGGACCGAGGCGCCUGGGAGGUGGAGCCUGUUGCCAGGUGCCACCAUUGGUUGUGGCUCUUGCCAGAGGUGCAGCCAGCUGUUCAAACCAGGUUCAAACAAGACUGACAGGCCGUGACCAGCCACGCUGUCUCCUAACGCACUUCCUUUUUCCUCUGAAUCGCUUCUUUUCUCAGCUCUGACAACCUGCCCAGGUGGCGGGCGGGCAGAACAUCCUGAGCUUGUUCAGUCGGGGCGGCUGCCUGAUUUCAGAA